AUUGAACGCUGGCGGCAUGCCUUACACAUGCAAGUCGAACGGCAGCACGGGUGCUUGCACCUGGUGGCGAGUGGCGAACGGGUGAGUAAUACAUCGGAACAUGUCCUGUAGUGGGGGAUAGCCCGGCGAAAGCCGGAUUAAUACCGCAUACGAUCUACGGAUGAAAGCGGGGGACCUUCGGGCCUCGCGCUAUAGGGUUGGCCGAUGGCGGAUUAGCUAGUUGGUGGGGUAAAGGCCUACCAAGGCGACGAUCAGUAGCUGGUCUGAGAGGACGACCAGCCACCCUGGGACUGAGACACGGCCCAGACUCCUACGGGAGGCAGCAGUGGGGAAUUUUGGACAAUGGGCGAAAGCCUGAUCCAGCAAUGCCGCGUGUGUGAAGAAGGCCUUCGGGUUGUAAAGCACUUUUGUCCGGAAAGAAAUCCUUGGCCCUAAUACGGUCGGGGGAUGACGGUACCGGAAGAAUAAGCACCGGCUAACUACGUG
rnacentral:rRNA from 1 species